CUGCUCUCUCUGUCCCUGCCCGCUGGCCUAGUGGGUGGUGACACAGCACGGUGCAUUCCUGCAGGCAGGCUCAGGCCCCUGUGUAGUUGGCUUGACCCAGGCAAGCUCCUGCACUUGUCGCUGAAGAGCAAGGGCUCAGGCUGGCAAUUUCUUAUCCUGUUUCUGACUGACCUCUUUUACACCCAGGGAAAGUAUUGUCAAA
rnacentral:lncRNA from 1 species